rnacentral:rRNA from 1 species
UACAGAGGUCUCAAGCGUUGUUCGGAUUCAUUGGGCGUAAAGGGUGCGUAGGCGGCGCGGUAAGUCGGGUGUGAAAUUCGAUCGAGCUUAACUCCGAAACUGCAUUCGAUACUGCCGUGCUUGAGGACUGGAGAGGAGACUGGAAUUUACGGUGUAGCGGUGAAAUGCGUAGAUAUCGUAAGGAAGACCAGUGGCGAAGGCGGGUCUCUGGACAGUUCCUGACGCUGAGGCACGAAGGUCAGGGGGAGCAAACGGG